CAGCCUCAACUUAAGCAUUUCAUAGAAACUAUAAUUUUCUUUUAUCCCUCGCAUUUUCAUUAGUUCAUACAGUAUUUUACUAAAUCACAGUUUUGACUCUCUGUUCACAGUACCAGGCCUCUCUUAACAUUUCAGAUACUUAAUACAUUCAGUUCUUCUUUGAAAUUUUUAAAACAAUGAAUUCAAACUAAAUUUUCAUUUAACCUGUGCAAAUUAAAGAACUACAAUGGCCUGAUUUGAGAGUAAAGGGAAAAAAUGGCAUUCUGUAUAGUUUGAAUGAUGUCCCCCACCACAAUCACAAGUAUCACAAGUACCCAGUGUGAACACGUGACAGGAGAAGGGGAAUGCAGCCAGUCGCAGCUACUGCCUCUCAGGAUGAGCUGCUGAACAUCCUGGUAUGAACGUCCUUUUUUUUUUUGAGACGGAGUCUCCCGUUGCCCAGGCUGGAGUGUAGCAGCACGAUCUCGGCUCACUGUAACCUCCACUGCCCGGGUUCAAGUGAUUCUCUUGCCUCAGCCUCCCGAGUAGCUAGGACCACAGGCGCAUGCCACCAUGCUCGACUGAUUUUUGUAUUUUUAGUAGAGAUGGGGUUUCACCAUAUCGGCCAGGCCGGUCUUGAACGCCUAACCUCAGGCAAUCCACCCACCUCAGCCUCCCAAAGUGCUAGGAUUAUAGGCAUAAGCCACUGCACCUGGCCAGUCCUGACCUUCUUAAUAACCUUUGCAUUCAACAAGUCCAAAGACAGGUAUUUUUCAUCCAAGGGGCUCUGAACAUCAACUGACUAAACAUCACUCCCUCCUACACCGUCAAUCUCAUAAAAAUAAAAUUUCCUCCUUAUUAUGGUUAUAUCAUUCCUCUUCUCAAAAGGCCAAAAGGGAGUCCCGUGCUGCUGAUACAAAUCAUUUAGGCAGAGAAUAGUGCUAGUGGGGGAGAAUGAAAUCCUGGCUCUUACCCCAACCUUGCACAAAUUACUUUUCUGUCUCACUUUUUUCAUCUAUGUAAUUGGGAUAAUAACCAAAUUUGCCUUGUAAGGCUGUUAUGAAUUUCAAAUAAGUUAAUAUAUGUGAAGCACUUAGAACUCAGUGCCCGGUACAAAAUAAUGCUCAAUACCACUAGCUAUUAUUGCGUUUGGAAACUUGCUCAGCUACAGAUAACACAGAAAGAGUACUGGAUGUAGUGAACAUCAUCAGGACAUUUGUCGUUUAGGGAAAUAAUAAGAGCAAUCCCAGAACUUAAAGUAUAAUAAAGAAAUAAUGACAAUAAGAGCAAAAUGCCUCAUAACACAAACCAGUACUAACAAAUUUGGUUUAGGUCUUAGUGCGUUCUGAUUUCAGAGGUGAGGACAUCCACGGAGGGCUAGGGUAAUCAUGGAA
rnacentral:lncRNA from 10 species